AUUGAACGCUGGCGGCAUGCCUUACACAUGCAAGUCGAACGGCAGCACGGGUGCUUGCACCUGGUGGCGAGUGGCGAACGGGUGAGUAAUACAUCGGAACAUGUCCUGUAGUGGGGGAUAGCCCGGCGAAAGCCGGAUUAAUACCGCAUACGAUCUACGGAUGAAAGCGGGGGACCUUCGGGCCUCGCGCUAUCGGGUUGGCCGAUGGCUGAUUAGCUAGUUGGUGGGGUAAAGGCCUACCAAGGCGACGAUCAGUAGCUGGUCUGAGAGGACGACCAGCCACACUGGGACUGAGACACGGCCCAGACUCCUACGGGAGGCAGAAGUGGGGAAUUUUGGACAAUGGGCGAAAGCCUGAUCCAGCAAUGCCGCGUGUGUGAAGAAGGCCUUCGGGUUGUAAAGCACUUUUGUCCGGAAAGAAAUCCUUGGCCCUAAUACGGUCGGGGGAUGACGGUACCGGAAGAAUAAGCACCGGCUAACUACGU
rnacentral:rRNA from 1 species